rnacentral:tRNA from 1 species
GGGCGGAUAGCUCAGUCGGUAGAGCGUUGGUUUUACACACCAAUGGUCGUCGGUUCGAACCCGGCUCCGCCCA